rnacentral:rRNA from 1 species
CCUACGGGCGGCAGCAGUGGGGGAUAUUGCACAAUGGGGGAAACCCUGAUGCAGCGACGCCGCGUGGGUGAAGAAGCGCCUCGGCGCGUAAAGCCCUGUCAGCAGGGAAGAAAAUGACGGUACCUGAAGCAGAAGCCCCGGCUAACUACGUGCCAGCAGCCGCGGCAAGACGGAGGGGGCAGGCGUUAUCCGGAUGUACUGGGGGUAAAGGGGGCGCAGUCGGCGAUGCAAGGCAGGAGGGAAAGCCCGGGGGCGAACCCCGGGAUUGCCGUUGAAACUGCGUGGCUAGAUUGCAGGAGGGGCAGGCGGAAUGCGUGGUGUAGCGGUGAAAUGCGUAGAUAUCAGGAAGAACACCGGUGGCGAAGGCAGCAUGCUGGACUGCAACUGACGUUGAGGCCCGAAAGUGUGGGGAGCGAACAGGAUUAGAUACCCUGGUAGUC